rnacentral:rRNA from 1 species
UAAUUCGUGCCAGCACGCGUAAUCGAAAGUGCAAGCGUGUUCGNAUUUACUGGCGUAAAGCGANUGUAGUUGUUUAUAAGUCGGAUGUGAAAUCCCAGGCUCAACCCUGGAACUGCAUCGAUACUGAUAGCUAGAGUUUGGAGGGGUAAGCGGAAUUCCGUGUGUAGCAGUGAAAUGCGUAGAUAUACGGGGAACACCUGAGGCGAAGGCGGCUUACUGGACCAAUACUGACACUGAGACUCGAAAGCGUGGGUAGCAAACAGGAUUAGAUACCCUGGUAGUCCACGCCCUAAACGAUGUCAACUAGCCGUUGCGGGUAUCGACCCCUGCAGUGGCGAANUAACGCGAUAAGUUGACCGCCUGGGGAGUACGGUCGCAAGAUUAAAACUCAAAGGAAUUGACGGGGGCCGCACAAGCGGUGGAGCAUGUGGUUUAAUUCGACGCAACGCGAAGAACCUUACCUGGGCUU